GUGAUUCAUGCCUACCAUCCCAUCACUAUAGGAGACUGAGGCAGGAGAAUCUCCAAUCUGAGCCCAGCCCAGUAAUUUGAAGACUUAAUGAGACCCUGUUUCAAUAAAAAAUUAAACAGGGGAGGGGAUAUAGCUCAGUGCCAAGAUUCUGGACUCAAUCCUUAGUAUCACAGAAAUACACACCACCACCAUCACCACCACCACCAACAGCAACAAUAACAAAAACUUUUACAGUGAUAGGGUGUGGUAGGUGGCAGUGCUUGACAGGGUUGGAGUGGGCCUUUCUGAGGAGCUGGAAAUGAGCAGAGGCUUGAGUAGAAAUCUAGAGGAAAUGCAUUCUAGACAGAGGGAACAGCAAGUGCAAAGGUCCUGGGGCAGACAGGAGCCCAGUACCUGGAGAGGAUUCCUGGUGAGAUCCCGAGGGCCUUUAGCUGUUGAUGACUUUUCUGUCUUCCAGAUUCUUAUUAGUCUGUGAACUCAGUUCACUGGGUAGGACUUUUCACCCCAGCAAUGAGCCUCUUCCCUGAAUAUCAGCCUAAAAAUAUCAGCACAGGAAGGGUCCUCAAGAGAUGCUGUGAGAAACUUUCAUCGUUCAAAUGGAUCAGGCGAGACCCAGGCUCACCUGUGACCACACUGCACAUUCCAGUCACACAGCGCAGGACAGCAGCCCACUCAGCGUGGAUGACUCACUGAAGAAGAGGAAAACAGACGAUGAGGGAGAGCUGGACAUCACUGCCACAGUGACGGGGUGGGGACCAGGACGUUCUGCCAUUGAGCGCCAGGGACAGGACCAGCCAUCUGCUGGUUCUCCGCUCCUCAGCGUGGCUCCGCCUGAAACCCUUUAAAUAUCGCCCUGUUGCUCCCCGAGAAACACCAACCCCACCUCUCACACCCACGCACCAGCACCCAGAACACACGAGGCCUCCCACAGGGUUGCUGGGGCUCGGGGUGCAGGGACACAGACAUGAGGGCGGCAGUGGGAGGCAGUGGGGGCCCAGAGCUCUGCCUGGUCCUCGUGGAUGUAUCCCACGCCCGCUGUGACAAUUGGACAGGGCCUGCGCCACAAGACACACCGACCAGCACCGACCUGGACCCCGGGCGCCUCGCCAGAUCCCUUCAGGGACAACGCUGAGCACUCCCUGGGCUGGGCGUCUCCGACCCUUCCUUCCUGCAGGUGUCCCCGGGACUGCGGGCAGCAGCCCGACUGCAGGACAGCGGCCCCAGGGCUGAGCCGGGCAGGGGACACGGGCAGGGGACUCGGGCUUUGCAGGCAGCAGUAACAUUUCCGGGCCCGCAG